GGCGCUAUAGCCAAGUGGUUACGGCGGUUGAUUCGAAUAUCGAAUUAUCAACUCCUCUUUGAGGGCGCAGGUUCAAAUCCUGCUGGCGUCG
rfam:Phlebia centrifuga strain FBCC195 PHLCENscaffold_2871, whole genome shotgun sequence.